rnacentral:rRNA from 1 species
GACGUAGGGCGCGAGCGUUGUCCGGAAUUAUUGGGCGUAAAGAGCUCGUAGGCGGUUUGUUGCGUCGGCUGUGAAAUCCCGAGGCUCAACCUCGGGUCUGCAGUCGAUACGAGCAAACUAGAGUGUUGCAGGGGAGACUGGAAUUCCUGGUGUAGCGGUGAAAUGCGCAGAUAUCAGGAGGAACACCGGUGGCGAAGGCGGGUCUCUGGGCAACAACUGACGCUGAGGAGCGAAAGCGUGGGGAGCAAACAGG